GCAACCAUUUAGAUCAAUAUUCACCUUUUUGAAAUCGAUAGCGGUGAAUUAAGCAAUCGUCUGCCAGUAUAGCAAAUAGAAGAAGUACCUGACUGCUGAUGGUCGUCAGAAACAGACAUACCGGAAGUUAUGACACAUGGAAUAGCUUAUAAGCGGGAUUAUGACUAAAAGAAAAAAUGAAGAAGUUUCGAUACAUUCUACUUUUUUUUGUUUUUAUUUUAGAAUUAUGCUUUGAUUUAGGUCAAAGUUCAUCAACUGCUGCACCAGAAGAAGAAGAAGACUUUUUUGGUAGUGACAAGUUUGUAGGAUUGAUGAUCGGUUUAGGAUCAUUUGCUGGACUCCUUGUUUUGUGCUGUAUCCUAUGGAAAUGUUGUUGUGGAGGAAAGGAUGACUAGUUAAAAAAACAUCCAGAAUUAAACAAAAUGAAAGGAGUUGUGAUAUUAGCGAUUUAAUUCCUUCCAUAAAAAAAUGUAUGGAUACGUGGUUGUGCACAUGUCAUUAACAAUUAUUUGACAUUGUUUAAACACAUGGAAUAUACAAAUUUAUAUAUAUGUAUGUGUGUGCUGCUUCGUUGGAGAAAAUGGAUAUGUGUGUUUUGACGUAUUAUCAUUUAUUUUAUCAGCAGCAUAACUGCUGGCAUGUUGUCUGCUGAAGAACCGUUUUACAUGUUAUAUAUACAAUGUAAUAUACAAACUUCUUAUGUCUCAAACCUUCAGGAUUCGCCGUUUUAGAACCUAAAGAAUUUUGUGAAAUUUCGUUGUCCUUAAAUUAAAAAUUGAAAAAUCCUGACAUUUUAGUUCGAACAUUCAUUCUUUAAGAAUUUAUCUGCUAAUCAUAAUGUGUGUGUCUAUUUCCGAAAAUGCAUUAGAUUCUGAAACGGGAAUGAAGGUAAACGAACCCUAUAAGUUUUCUUGUUUUGAUCUAGAUGUUUCCUAAAUGUUGAUAAAUAAUAUGAUUAAUUAUGUUCACAUGUUGACAUUAUCCAAAAAACUACAUAACUCCGAUCUUAAUUAAAUCCUUCAAGUGACCACGAUAAUUCGUAUGGGAUAGAUAUUUUGAAUAAAUCAGAAAAGUUUUGUUUCUUUCUUUUCACGGAAAAAUAUUUUGUUUAAUAUGAUGUAUGCAUGUAUGUAUAAUGGUUGAACAAUACUUUGAUGCUUUAGUAACAUAUAAACAAAAGCAUAAUUUGUAUUUUGCGUAUACAAAAAUUUGAUAACAUAAGACACCAUAUUCGAGGGUCUGGAUGGGAGUGGGGUCCUUCAAUUCUGUAUCCUUUAAUUUUGUAGGACAUUUUUCUCGUUUCUUUGUUCUUUUUGCCCUUUACUCUCGAUUCUUUAUAUUUUACAUCUCAUUAUUCUCUAUUCUUUAUUUGUUUGGUCUAUUUUUCUCUAUUCUUUAUUUGUUUGGUCUAUUUUUCUCUAUUCUUUAUAUUUUUUGCCCAUUAUUCUCUAUUCUGUAAACCCCAUCCACACCCUCAUAUUCAAGUAGGAAGUAUUUCUGUAUGGUUGUUCUGCUUAUUUUUACCUGAACACAAGAACACACAGACAAGUUAUUCUCAUCAUAAACUAUUGUACUACUAAAUGCUUACCGUGACAGAAAAUGUUUGUUUUUGUGUUUAACGAUUGGUCAUUGUUAUCUCCGUCCAAUACUUUCACGAGGCACCUUACAAUAUUAAUCUUAUUUACUGAACAAAUUGCUUUUAUUUUUUAUACUUGUAUGUAAAUGUGCUAUUACAAUAAAUGAAGUCUAUAAUUUU